rnacentral:rRNA from 1 species
GACGAACGCUGGCGGCGUGCUUAACACAUGCAAGUCGAACGGAAAGGCCCUGCUUUUGUGGGGUGCUCGAGUGGCGAACGGGUGAGUAACACGUGAGUAACCUGCCCUUGACUUUGGGAUAACUUCAGGAAACUGGGGCUAAUACCGGAUAGGAGCUCCUGCUGCAUGGUGGGGGUUGGAAAGUUUCGGCGGUUGGGGAUGGACUCGCGGCUUAUCAGCUUGUUGGUGGGGUAGUGGCUUACCAAGGCUUUGACGGGUAGCCGGCCUGAGAGGGUGACCGGCCACAUUGGGACUGAGAUACGGCCCAGACUCCUACGGGAGGCAGCAGUGGGGAAUAUUGCACAAGGGGCGGAAGCCUGAUGCAGCAACGCCGCGUGCGGGAUGACGGCCUUCGGGUUGUAAACCGCUUUCGCCUGUGACGAAGCGUGAGUGACGGUAAGGGGUAAAGAAGCACCGGCGAACUACG